rnacentral:rRNA from 1 species
UACGUAGGGUGCGAGCGUUAAUCGGAAUUACUGGGCGUAAAGCGUGCGCAGGCGGUUCGCCAAGUCAGGUGUGAAAUCCCCGGGCUUAACCUGGGAAUUGCGCUUGAAACUAGCGGGCUUGAGUGUGGCAGAGGCGAGUGGAAUUCCGUGGUGUAGCGGUGAAAUGCGCAGAUAUCAGGAGGAACACCAAUGGCGAAGGCAGCUCGCUGGGACGUGACUGACGCUGAGACGCGAAAGCGUGGGGAGCAAACAGG